UGCUGUACAAACUAGAAAAAAAUGAGGAAGUGGUGUCGUACCACUUCCUGUCUGGUGUUUGAAAUAGGCCUCACCCAUAUUCGAGUUCUUGUUUUUGUUUUUAGAUUAUUUCGAAAAAUGGUUGGUGUGUUGUAAAAGUAAAUCGAUUCUUGUAGGUGACGGGACCGUUUGGAUGACAUUUCGUCUACUGCCACACUGAUAGAAGAAAGAUUUCUCCAGACGUGUGGCGAGAGCUGAGUCAAAAGAAUGGCAGACUAUGGAGCUGAGGAGAAAAAGGACGAAUUCGGCAAUCUUCAGGGAGCAGAGAGAAGAAUGAUCAUUCAACCGACAUCUUUAGAAGACCCCAAACUCAGCAAACUUAAAGAGGUUUUGGUCGAAUGGAUCAACAAAACCCUGAAAGUUGAACACAUUGUGGUGCGAGCGCUGGAGGAAGACCUCUAUGACGGACUCGUCCUUCAUCACCUGUUACGCAGGUUAGCAGGUGUUCAGUUACAUGUAGAGGAGAUUGCGUUGAGUACUGAUGUCCAGAUACGGAAACUAGAUGCGAUCCUGACAGCUCUGAACGAGACCUUAGAGCUUAAUGAGGAAACGGCCAAAUGGAAUGUUAAACUCAUUCACAGCAAGGACCUGUUGGCUACAUUACAUCUUCUGGUUGCUAUUGUGAGGCGUUUCCAACCCGAUGUGGUCCUGCCUGUAAACGUCAGCGUGGAGGUCAUCCAGUGUGAGGUCACAAAAAGUGGCAUCAAGGCAGAGAAGCAGACAGAAUUCAUCACAUUUCAAAGUGAUUCCAGUGAAGAGCUUGAGAGAGAAUCUAACAAGGAAUGUCCCAUUGAUGAGCUCUUCAAGCUGGAGGCUCACAAAAUUGAGACCGUGAAAAAGGCCAUUUUGCACUUUGUGAAUAAGAACAUGUCAUCUCUGGGACUAAAUGUGAACGACAUCGACAAACAGUUCGCAGACGGAGUGAUCCUGCUCUUGUUGAUCGGUCAGUUGGAAGGCUUCUUCAUUCCACUGUGCGACUUCUUCCUUUGUCCUGUUGGGAGCUCAGAAAUGGAUGACUGUGGAUAUGACAGCACAGCAGCAUAAGCCAGGUUAAGAGCCUGAGGCUCCAUAAUGUGACGCUUGCAUUGGAUCUUCUCAUAGACCGAGGGCUUCCGGUUCAGUCCAUAGACCCUCAAGACAUUGUUUCCCAAGAUGUUCCAGCCACUGUGAAAGUGCUGUAUUACUUAUUCAAGAGGCACAAAUACAAAUAGGCCUAAUUAUUGCCACUCCCAACCUUUCAAUUCAAUAAAACCUUCCCCAAUGUUUUAAUAAUCAAAUUAACUGUAAAUUUAGACUUUCUUCUGACUAAAAAUCAUUCAGAGGCACAGAGUUGACAGUCAGAUUACUUUGGCACUCAGAGUGUUAGAACACAUUUGAAGCAAUUGUACAGAGUGUCUCUGAACCAUUUGAAGAGGCUUCAGAGCGGAAAUGAGAGAACAUGGCCACUCAUCUCAUCAUGGAAAUUGCGUUUGGAUGCUGACAGCUUCAAUUUAAUUUCACCUUUUCACUCUUCCACUUUCCGUGUUUUUUUUUUUCCUUUGAACAGAUGUGCAUUAGACUUAAUGUAUCGCUCAACAUUUUUCUGCUGACUUGCAGCUUGUUUUCAAAUAAAAGUGGCACAUAUGUCUGAAA